rnacentral:rRNA from 1 species
AUUGAACGCUGGCGGCAGGCAUAACACAUGCAAGUCGAGCGGAGCGGCGGACGCGGGAGGGAUGCCUAGGAAUCUGCCUGGUCGUGGGGGAUAACGUCCGGAAACGGGCGCUAAUACCACAAACUCUCAGAUGAGCCUAGGUGGGAUUAGCUAGUGGGUGGGGUAAAGGCCUACCACGGCGACGAUCCGUAACUGGUCUGAGAGGGUGAUCGGCCACACUGGGACUGAGACACGGUCCAGACUCCUACGGGAGGCAGCAGUGGGGAAUAUUGGACAAUGGGCGAAAGCCUGAUGCAGCCAUGCCGCGUGUGUGAAGAAGGCCUUCGGAUUGUAAAGUACUUUAAGUUGGGAGGCGUUACCAACAGAAUAAGCACCGGCUAACUUCGUGCCAGCAGCCGCGGUAAUAC